UCUUCCCCACGUCUCUUCCCACCGCUGAGUCGCCGUUCAGUGGAUUUGCUCCACUGCCGAGUCGCCGGCCACCUCCCACCACCGGCCACCACGUUUUCUGCUCCUGUCAUCGAGAUUCCGUGGAUCGAUUGAGCUCCAAAUUAAAGAACAUUGAAGUGAUCACCGCUCUCGGAGAUUCGGGCCACCGGAAUCCGGGUCUUGAAGUUGAAAAUACCCAGAGCGCUUUCUUCCUAUGUGCAUGCCUUCUGCUGUUAACUGCUAACUCAGGCCUUUCUUCUUGUGCGAAACCAUAGCCGGCUUCACUUUUCUCACUUCAAUCCAACACUCUUAGUGAAAACCCAAUUCCCAAAACUAUCUGAGCACACCAAAGCUCUAUCAGAAAGGAAUUGGGGUGACCAUUGUUUGUCCUGGUCCAAUAGAAACAUCAAAUGGUACAGGUGCAGCAAGCUCAGAGAAUAAAGCUUCUUCUGAGAAGCGUGUGUCAUCAGAAAGGUGUGCAGAGUUGACAAUAAUUGCUGCCACCCAUGGUCUAAAGGAAGUUUGGAUAUCAUACCAGAUUAGCUGCUGCUUUGACAACUAUGGUGUUCCUCAGGGACAGUUGUUUGAAUUUCAAGUCCAUCUGAAUAGCAAUAGAGUAUUGAUGGGG